rnacentral:rRNA from 1 species
UACCAGCACCCCGAGUGGUCGGACGUUUAUGGGCCUAAAGCAUCCGUAGCCGGUUCUACAAGUCUUCCGUUAAAUCCACCUGCUUAACAGAUGGGCUGCGGAAGAUACUAUAGAGCUAGGAGGCGGGAGAGGCAAGCGGUACUCGAUGGGUAGGGGUAAAAAAUCCGUUGAUCCAUUGAAGACCACCAGUGGCGAAGGCGGCUUGCCAGAACGCGCUCGACGGUGAGGGAUGAAAGCUGGGGAGCAAACCGG